rnacentral:rRNA from 1 species
CACGUAGUUAGCCGGGGCUUCUUAGUCAGGUACCGUCUUGUCUCGUUCCUGCUGAUAGAGCUUUACAUACCGAAAUACUUCUUCACUCACGCGGCGUCGCUGCAUCAGGGUUUCCCCCAUUGUGCAAUAUUCCCCACUGCUGCCUCCCGUAGGAGUUUGGGCCGUGUCUCAGUCCUAAUGUGGCCGUCCACCCUCUCAGGCCGGCUACUGAUCGUCGCUUUGGUAGGCCGUUACCCUGCCAACUGGCUAAUCAGACGCGGGUCCAUCCCAUACCACCGGAGUUUUUCACGCAGGAGCAUGCGCUCCCGUGCGCUUAUGCGGUAUUAGCACCUGUUUCCAGGUGGUAUCCCCCGGUAUGGGGCAGGUUACCCACGCGUUACUCACCCGUCCGCCACUAAGAUACUCAUUUCCAAAGUGCAAGCACUCCUUCCAUAAGCAUCCCCGUUCGACUUGCAUGUGUUAAGCACGCCGCCAGCGUUCAUCCUGAGCCAGGAUCAAACUCU